GAUGAACGCUGGCGGCGUGCCUAAUACAUGCAAGUCGAGCGAACAGAUGAGGAGCUUGCUCCUCUGACGUUAGCGGCGGACGGGCGAGUAACACGUGGAUAACCUACCUAUAAGACUGGGAUAACUUCGGGAAACCGGAGCUAAUACCGGAUAAUAUAUUGAACCGCAUGGUUCAAUAGUGAAAGACGGUUUUGCUGUCACUUAUAGAUGGAUCCGCGCCGCAUUAGCUAGUUGGUAAGGUAACGGCUUACCAAGGCAACGAUGCGUAGCCGACCUGAGAGGGUGAUCGGCCACACUGGAACUGAGACACGGUCCAGACUCCUACGGGAGGCAGCAGUAGGGAAUAUUCCGCAAUGGGCGAAAGCCUGACGGAGCAACGCCGCGUGAGUGAUGAAGGUCUUCGGAUCGUAAAACUCUGUUAUUAGGGAAGAACAAAUGUGUAAGUAACUAUGCACGUCUUGACGGUACCUAAUCAGAAAGCCACGGCUAACUACGUG
rnacentral:rRNA from 1 species